AUUGAACGCUGGCGGCAUGCUUUACACAUGCAAGUCGAACGGUAACAGGCCUUCGGGUGCUGACGAGUGGCGAACGGGUGAGUAAUGCAUCGGAACGUGCCCAGAGGUGGGGGAUAACGCAGCGAAAGCUGUGCUAAUACCGCAUGUGAUCUGAGGAUGAAAGCGGGGGACCAGGCAGCAAUGUUUGGCCUCGCGCCUUUGGAGCGGCCGAUGUCAGAUUAGGUAGUCGGUGGGGUAAAGGCCUACCAAGCCGACGAUCUGUAGCUGGUCUGAGAGGACGACCAGCCACACUGGGACUGAGACACGGCCCAGACUCCUACGGGAGGCAGCAGUGGGGAAUUUUGGACAAUGGGCGCAAGACUGAUCCAGCAAUGCCGCGUGCGGGAAGAAGGCCUUCGGGUUGUAAACCGCUUUUGUACGGAACGAAAAGGCUCUGGCUAAUACCUGGGGCUGAUGACGGUACCGUAAGAAUAAGCACCGGCUAACUACGUG
rnacentral:rRNA from 1 species